GGCCAGAUAGCUCAGUAGGUAGAGCAAGGGACUGAAAAUCCCUGUGUCGGCGGUUCGAAUCCGCCUCUGGCCA
rfam:Nitratiruptor tergarcus DSM 16512 genome assembly, contig: NitteDRAFT_scaffold1.1